rnacentral:rRNA from 1 species
GUAGUCCACGCGGUAAACGAUGAAUGCUAGGUGUAGUGGGUAUCGACCCCUGCUGUGCCGGAGUUAACACAAUAAGCAUUCCGCCUGGGGAGUACGGCCGCAAGGUUGAAACUCAAAGGAAUUGACGGGGGCCCGCACAAGCAGCGGAGCAUGUGGUUUAAUUCGAAGCAACGCGAAGAACCUUACCAGGUCUUGACAUCGAUGUAAACCUGUAGAGAUACAGGGUGCCUUCGGGCAACUGAAGACAGGUGGUGCAUGGUUGUCGUCAGCUCGUGUCGUGAGAUGUUGGGUUAAGUCCCGCAACGAGCGCAACCCUUAUUGUCAGUUACUAACGGGUAAUGCCGAGGACUCUGACGAGACUGCCGGGGACAACUCGGA